ACUUGAUGACUGUCAUAAAAACUUGAAUUGAGUUGAAGAUUGAGAUCAACCACAACCAAGAGUGGCUAGGCAAAGCUAUGAAAAAACAAACAGCUGCAACUAGCCAAACAGCACAGACAAUUGCUAUAGCAAUCUUAGAGACCUUUUGAUUGCCACGAUCAUAGAUUGCAAUUUGGAGCAAUGUAAUUGCUGUCAACAGAACAGCAUGCAUUGAAAAGGCAACAUCAUUUGCAGCCACAGGUAUCAUCUCUCCGUAGCCAUACUUGUCGAAAUACUGCUUCUGAAUAGCAGAGCUGAAGUAAAGAGAAGCGUUGUAAAUCAAAUAAGAGGAGUGUUUGGUCAAAUUCAACAUCACGAAAUCGAAGUUCAAACCCACCACGCUUUUCCGGCGGAAAUUCAAGAUAAUUUGAGGAUAGAAACUGAUGGACCAAGAAAAGAAGGCGAUCCAUCCAAAGGUUUCGUAUGUGAUUUCGAGUGGAAUUGAAUUCCACGACGCCAUUUCUCUCCCUCCGAGCUGGCUCCGGCGAUGUUUCUAAUAUGGCUGGGGAGAGCACUUUCGCCCGAUGACAGUCUUUUCUUA
rnacentral:misc_RNA from 1 species